GUGAGUCAUCGAAUCUUUGAACGCACAUUGCGCCCUUUGGUAUUCCGGUAGGCAUGCCUGUUCGAGCGUCAGCAAAACCUCUCAGCAAUAUUUUAUUGUUGGUUAUGGGCCGCGGAGGAAUUUGGCUUUACGGCCGCUCCCGCCUUAAACUUGCUGCACGACCUCAAGCUCAUGCUAGGUUAUUGGAGUGGUGUUUACAUUAUAUUCCAGCAAUCCUCUCAUAGCUUUGACGGCGUUAAACCUGAUAGUUGCCUCACCGCAACCGACGUUUUGACCUCGAAUCAGACAAGGAUACCCGCU
rnacentral:misc_RNA from 1 species